ensembl:snRNA U6 U6 spliceosomal RNA
GUGUUCACUUCAGCAGCACAUAUACUAAAAUUGAAACAAUGUAGAGAAGAUUAGUAUGGCCCCUGUUUAAGGAAGACACACAAAUUUGUGAAGAAUAAAUACUAACUUUUU